UACGUAGGGCGCAAGCGUUAUCCGGAAUUAUUGGGCGUAAAGAGCUCGUAGGCGGUUUGUCACGUCUGCUGUGAAAACUGGAGGCUCAACCUCCAGCCUGCAGUGGGUACGGGCAGACUAGAGUGCGGUAGGGGAGAUUGGAAUUCCUGGUGUAGCGGUGGAAUGCGCAGAUAUCAGGAGGAACACCGAUGGCGAAGGCAGAUCUCUGGGCCGUAACUGACGCUGAGGAGCGAAAGCAUGGGGAGCGAACAGG
rnacentral:rRNA from 1 species